AAGUCGUAACAAGGUUUCCGUAGGUGAACCUGCGGAAGGAUCAUUAACAAAUGUUUCCCAAUACCAACCACGUCUGUGCACUGUUAUAAUGUUUUGGUGAGCGCCUGGUAGAAAUGCUAGGACUCACCGCCUGACCACGUCGAUCUAAACUUCUAACUGAGACUUUAUUAACAAAUAAAGACAACUUUUAGCAACGGAUCUCUUGGCUCUC
rnacentral:misc_RNA from 1 species